CAAGAAUGCACUACCAAUCCCACCAUCAAAGCCCACACGAGAUACUACCCUCACCAAGCAAGCGACCAAUAAGGGCAAAGGUCACCGGACAACCAGCCCCAUACGAUAUAGCCACCAACCGACCAACCAAAACCAGAUGGGCACACAAAGCCCCCACCCGGAAAUUAGAUUCUAGUGAUAAUGUUUCCUUUCCUGUGACUUGCCUCUCCCCCAACCCUCCUUUUUUAU